rnacentral:misc_RNA from 1 species
GAUGAAGAACGCAGCGAAAUGCGAUAAGUAAUGUGAAUUGCAGAAUUCCGUGAAUCAUCGAAUCUUUGAACGCACAUUGCGCCCUCUGGUAUUCCGGGGGGCAUGCCUGUCCGAGCGUCAUUGCAACCCUCAAGCACGGCUUGUGUGUUGGGCCCCGUCCCCUCCCCCGGGGACGGGCCCGAAAGGCAGCGGCGGCACCGCGUCCGAUCCUCGAGCGUAUGGGGCUUUGUCACCCGCUCUGUAGGCCCGGCCGGCGCCAGCCGACACCCAACUUUUAUUUCUAAGGUUGACCUCGGAUCAGGUAGGGAUACCCGCUGAACUUAAGCAUAUCAAUAAGCGGAGGA